ACAACGGCCCUUUUAAGGGCCACCCAAACUUUCCUUCAGAGAGCAU
rfam:Oryzias latipes DNA, contig131749 in scaffold6503, strain: Hd-rR.